CGCGGCCUAUCAGCUUGUUGGUGAGGUAACGGCUCACCAAGGCGACGACGGGUAGCCGGCCUGAGAGGGUGACCGGCCACACUGGGACUGAGACACGGCCCAGACUCCUACGGGAGGCAGCAGUGGGGAAUAUUGCACAAUGGGCGCAAGCCUGAUGCAGCAACGCCGCGUGAGGGAUGACGGCCUUCGGGUUGUAAACCUCUUUUAGCAGGGAAGAAGCGAAAGUGACGGUACCUGCAGAAAAAGCACCGGCUAACUACGUGCCAGCAGCCGCGGUAAUACGUAGGGUGCAAGCGUUGUCCGGAAUUAUUGGGCGUAAAGAGCUCGUAGGCGGUUUGUCACGUCUGCUGUGAAAAUCCAAGGCUCAACCUUGGACUUGCAGUGGGUACGGGCAGGCUAGAGUGCGGUAGGGGAGAUGGGAAUUCCUGGUGUAGCGGUGAAAUGCGCAGAUAUUGGGAGGAACACCAGUGGCGAAGGCGCCGCUCUGGGCCGUAACUGACGCUGAGGAGCGAAAGCGUGGGUAGCAAACAGGAUUAGAUACCCUGGUAGUCCACGCCGUAAACGUUGGGCACUAGGUGUGGGUCUCAACCAACGAGAUCCGCGCCGUCGCUAACGCAUUAAGUGCCCCGCCUGGGGAGUACGG
rnacentral:rRNA from 1 species